rnacentral:rRNA from 1 species
AACGAACGCUGGCGGCGCGUCUUAAGCAUGCAAGUCGAACGGCAAGAGAGAGCUUGCUUCUCUCCUAGAGUGGCGGACUGGUGAGGAACACGUGGGUAAUCUACCCUUAAGAUGGGGAUAGCUGUUAGAAAUAGCAGGUAAUACCGAAUAGGCUCAGUGCUUCAUAAGAGGCGUUGAGGAAAGGGGGCUACGGCUCCGCUUGAGGAUGAGCUUGCGUCCCAUUAGCUAGUUGGUGAGGUAAAGGCCCACCAAGGCGACGAUGGGUAUCCGGCCUGAGAGGGUGAUCGGACACAUUGGGACUGAGAUACGGCCCAAACUCCUACGGGAGGCAGCAGCUAAGAAUAUUCCGCAAUGGACGGAAGUCUGACGGAGCGACGCCGCGUGGAUGAAGAAGGCUGAAAAGUUGUAAAAUCCUUUUGUUGAUGAAGAAUAAGGGGAAGAGGGAUGCUUCUCUGAUGACGGUAAUCAGCGAAUAAGCCACC